CUUGAUGGGGUAAGGCUCCCAGUAGACGACUGGGUUGAUAGGCCGGAUCUGGAAGCACGGUAACGUGUGGAGGUGACCGGUACUAAUAGGCCGAGGGCUUGUCCUC
rnacentral:rRNA from 2 species